GUCUCAUCUUCUAGCUCCAAGGGCCACCUCACCUUCGACGCUCGAGCUGUCCUCCUUCCAUCAGUCAUUGCUGCUUGAGCUUCUCUUUUAGCGAAAAGAAAAAAAAAAAACUGCUGAAAAAUGUUCUUUUGGCAGCAAUGAUUUUCCAGGGAAAGUCUCUUCAGGUUUCCUGGAAAACUCUUGAUCCUAUGGAUCUGAAUUUGUAGUUGCAAAAACUUCCAGAGUGAUGACUCAAAUGGGUAGGAAGAAGAAGACGACUUUUCUCAAUGUCGAAGAUGCUGUUGAGUUCUUCAAGCAUCUGAUGGCGGAGAGACCUUCUGUGAUCUUGUUGAUUCCUGCGAUUUUGGUGUUGUGAGUUGUUGAGAGAUGGGUUUUCUCUUUGUCAAAUUGGGUUGCUCUUGGUGUUGCAUUAUGGACAACUGUUCAGGCAAGUUCCUUUCCCUCUUUCUUCCUCUGUUCUGUAAUACUAUUACUUUUCUAAAUUCUUCUAUGUAUUUCUCCUUUUAUAGCUUUAGAAGCUGUUCUUGUUCCUUUACUUCUUGUUAAGAAUACACAUGGUGCUAAUGUUAGGAAACACGGCUAUCAUGUCAGCAGUAUGGGAAUCAUCAAUGCCGAGUACUCGCGGAAGACUUAAAACAAAAAGUGGAAGCAAGUCAUAUUACAUACAUCGGUAUCAGCCACCACUUUCAACAUCAUUUCUGCUUAACUGGGAUUUGAGUUUUAUAUGAUGGAAGUUUGGCCUAACUUCACGAACCCCAGGCUUUCAAUAAGAUUUGCGUACUUGGUAGAGGUGGGACUCCAACAUUCCAAUAUUAAUAUCUGCGAGUAAUGCGUUUAGGUUUUGACUGGGACACCAACGACAUUAGCAUUUUGUAGCUUGCUAAGCUGGCCAGGCCAUUGAUUGGGACUGCACGGAUUGUGAUAAAUAGUCUCCAUAUCAAGGGUGAUGUAUGCAUAGGAAUCUCUUAUUCUACAAAGCUUUUAUUGAUGCCAAUUCUGGAUGGAAAAGCAGUUUUAUUCUCCUUCGUUUCAACUCCUGAAGUCAGAAUAGGAUAUGCCUUUGAGAGCGGGGGAAGCCAAUCAUUACCUGCGACAGAGCUUCCAGGCGUCUCUUCUUGGCCGAUCAAGAGGACCAAGAUCCAGAUCCCGAUCCAUAAUAGGAUUGCGAAUAGAAUGACAAGUUGUUUACUUUCCAUUUAUUUCUUUAAUUUUCGUUUUUUUUAGAAGAGUUAUUCUCGUAUCCCUAUUAGGUAAUCUAAUUAUUGUGUAAGGAAUGUAAACCUUAACUUUAUUAUUUCGU